rnacentral:rRNA from 1 species
CCUACGGGAGGCAGCAGUGGGGGAUAUUGCACAAUGGGGGAAACCCUGAUGCAGCAACGCCGCGUGUGGGAAGAAGGUUUUCGGAUUGUAAACCACUGUUCUUGGUGAAGAUAAUGACGGUAUCUAACGAAUAAGCACCGGCUAACUCCGUGCCAGCAGCCGCGGUAAUACGGAGGGUGCAAGCGUUACUCGGAAUCACUGGGCGUAAAGAGCGCGUAGGCGGGAUAGCAAGUCAGAUGUGAAAUCCUAUGGCUUAACCAUAGAACUGCAUUUGAAACUGUUAUUCUAGAGUAUGGGAGAGGUAGGUGGAAUUCUUGGUGUAGGGGUAAAAUCCGUAGAGAUCAAGAGGAAUACUCAUUGCGAAGGCGACCUGCUAGAACAUAACUGACGCUGAUGCGCGAAAGCGUGGGGAGCAAACAGGAUUAGAUACCCUUGUAGUC